GGCGGAGGAGGAAGUGUCAUGGCGUCGGGCCGUGGAGCUUCUUCUCGCUGGUUCUUUACUCGGGAACAGCUGGAGAACACGCCGAGCCGCCGCUGCGGAGUGGAGGCGGAUAAAGAGCUCUCGUGCCGCCAGCAGGCGGCCAACCUCAUCCAGGAGAUGGGACAGCGUCUCAAUGUCUCUCAGCUUACGAUAAACACUGCGAUUGUUUAUAUGCACAGGUUUUAUAUGCACCAUUCUUUCACCAAAUUCAACAAAAAUAUAAUAUCGUCUACUGCAUUAUUUUUGGCUGCAAAAGUGGAAGAACAGGCUCGAAAACUUGAACAUGUUAUCAAAGUAGCACAUGCUUGUCUUCAUCCUCUAGAGCCACUGCUGGAUACUAAAUGUGAUGCUUACCUUCAACAGACUCAAGAACUGGUUAUACUUGAAACCAUAAUGCUACAAACUCUAGGUUUUGAGAUCACCAUUGAACACCCACACACAGAUGUGGUGAAAUGUACCCAGUUAGUAAGAGGUAGGUGAUCCUUGAAACUUUUAAGAUAAGUAUUAAUGCUUUUUAUUAUCUGUAAUUGAUUUGGGUGCUAUUUUGUUUUUCUAGCCUUUUGUUAG
rnacentral:sRNA from 1 species